rnacentral:rRNA from 1 species
UGUAAGCGUAUACCAAAGUUAUUGCAGUUAAAACGCUCGUAGUCGGAAUUUGGCAGUUCCGGAUGUGUGCACGUCGUGUGCGCACUUCGCGGGGAUUGCUUUUGUGGUCUUGCGUAGGAUGAGGCACUUUUAUUAGUGAACGUCCUCACGCAACCACUUUUUACUGUGAGAAAAUCAGAGUGCUCAAAGCAGGCACUUGCCGUGAAUGUAUUAGCAUGGAAUAAUAGAAUAGGACUUGGUUCUAUUUUGUUGGUUUGUUGGGACUGAGUAACGAUUAAGAGGGACAGUUGGGGGCAUUUGUAUUUCGGUGCUAGAGGUGAAAUUCUUAGAUUACCGAAAGACAAACUGCUGCGAAAGCGUCUGCCAAGGAUGUUUUCAUUGA